CCUACGGGAGGCAGCAGUGAGGAAUAUUGGUCAAUGGACGAGAGUCUGAACCAGCCAAGUAGCGUGAAGGAUGACUGCCCUAUGGGUUGUAAACUUCUUUUAUCAAGGACUAAAACGAGGCUCGUUUGCCUUGUUGCAUGUACUUUAUGAAUAAGGAUAGGCUAACUCCGUGCCAGCAGCCGCGGUAAUACGGAGGAUCCGAGCUUUAGCCGGAUUUAUUGGGUUGAAAGGGAUCGUAUAUGGGUUGUUAAGUCAGUGGUGAAAGUUUCCGGCUCAACCGUAAAAUUGCAAUUGAUACUGGCAGUCUUGAGUACAGUUGAGGUAGGCGGAAUUCGUGGUGUAGCGGUGAAAUGCUUAGAUAUCACGAAGAACCCCGAUUGCGAAGGCAGCUUACUAAGCUGUGACUGACAUUGAUGCUCGAAAGUGUGGGUAUCAAACAGGAUUAGAUACCCGAGUAGUC
rnacentral:rRNA from 1 species